rnacentral:rRNA from 1 species
UGUUAGUCGAGCGAACUGACGAGGAGCUUGCUCCUUUGACGUUAGCGGCGGACGGGUGAGUAACACGUGGGUAACCUACCUAUAAGACUGGAAUAACUCCGGGAAACCGGGGCUAAUGCCGGAUAACAUAUCGAACCGCAUGGUUCGAUAGUGAAAGACGGUCUUGCUGUCACUUAUAGAUGGACCCGCGCCGUAUUAGCUAGUUGGUGAGGUAACGGCUCACCAAGGCAACGAUACGUAGCCGACCUGAGAGGGUGAUCGGCCACACUGGAACUGAGACACGGUCCAGACUCCUACGGGAGGCAGCAGUAGGGAAUCUUCCGCAAUGGGCGAAAGCCUGACGGAGCAACGCCGCGUGAGUGAUGAAGGUCUUCGGAUCGUAAAGCUCUGUUGUUAGGGAAGAACAAAUGUGUAAGUAACUGUGCACAUCUUGACGGUACCUAACCAGAAAGCCACGGCUAACUACGUGCCAGCAGCCGCGGUAAUACGUAGGUGGCAAGCGUUAUCCGGAAUUAUUGGGCGUAAAGCGCGCGUAGGCGGUUUUUUAAGUCUGAUGUGAAAGCCCACGGCUCAACCGUGGAGGGUCAUUGGAAACUGGAAAACUUGAGUGCAGAAGAGGAAAGUGGAAUUCCAUGUGUAGCGGUGAAAUGCGCAGAGAUAUGGAGGAACACCAGUGGCGAAGGCGGCUUUCUGGUCUGUAACUGACGCUGAUGUGCGAAAGCGUGGGGAUCAAACAGGAUUAGAUACCCUGGUAGUCCACGCCGUAAACGAUGAGUGCUAAGUGGUUAGGGGGUUUCCGCCCCUUAGUGCUGCAGCUAACGCAUUAAGCACUCCGCCUGGGGGAGUACGGUCGCAAGACUGAAACUCAAAGGAAUUGACGGGGACCCGCACAAGCGGUGGAACAUGUGGUUUAAUUCGAAGCAACGCGAAAACCUUACCAAUCUU